AAAGUCGUAACAAGGUAACCGUAGGUGAACCUGCGGUUGGAUCAUUAACAAAUCUAACAAAAGAAGAAAUUAAAGAUCCUUUUAAAAGAAAUCUUUUAAUUUCUUCUUUUUAACAACCUUUUGUGAACUGUUAUUUGUCUCUUGGUGAGUUAAAAUUAGUUCCUUAAAAAAGAACUUUGAAGUGGUAAUUUUGUCACCCUCUUUUUAAUUAAAGAGGGAGAUAAAUUGCUUCUUCACUCACCAGCUUUUAACUUAAACUUUUUAAAAAAUAAAUUAAGUCUUGAAUUAAAUUAAAGAAAUUUUUUAAUUUAAACAACUUUUGACAACGGAUCUCUAGGUUCUC
rnacentral:misc_RNA from 1 species